UCUGGUGUACAAUGAAUCCAACUGGCUAGUCCUGCAAUAUGAAAGGAAGCAAGCGUCCCUGCUGCUAGUAUCCAUCAAUGCACGCUCCUGCUCAUCAGCAAGUGUCUGCCUAGUACAAUGCACCGUCAUCUGUCUCCAGUUUUCCAGAGCCUCAGGCGAAUACUCAUUUCAUCACCUCCCCGUUUUUCCUGCUUGGAACAGAAGACUUGCCACCACACUUCUGGCUCCAACGUUGCUAGCUGUGAUGAAGGUUUAGAGCUCUGUUGUACUUGGAACUGUAUAAACUCAGUGAAAGGACAGUCCCUAUCCCAAAGAGCUCAUGUCUGAGUGGAAGAUGUGAUGCAGAGUUGAUACAAACAGAUGGGGAAGCACAAGCACAGGGAAGCCUUCCUUUGGAUAGUGGGGGAAGUCUUUGCUAUCAGCGCCCUUGGACCUAAUGUCACUUACAGAUGAGACAGCUGAGCCAGCGCCAAAGCAGGAUUGAAUGAAGAUGUGCCCUUGUGAAGAGGUAGGGGUUGUCUAAACUUCUAUUUCUUUUGAUGUCUGAUUCAAACUGGUCUAAUUUGGGUAAUACGCUUGCCUUCUCUGCUAGGUGGCUGUUUGCUGUAUCAUUUUCAUCAGGUAGAGACUUUUAUGACAGUUUGUUACCUCAUAUCAACUGCAACCAAAAUGUGCAAAGCUCAGCCUGAGCAAAUGAGAGGGGAAACAAGGAAUGCUGGUUGAGCAUGGAGCAAGGUGCUUGACUUCAUUUCUGUUCAAGUUAGGAUUUGGUAGGCAAUGUCUACUGAAUGAGGACCUGCAAAGAGACCAGAUGCUGUCUUGUAACAGAGAAAGGACUUUGGUUUUCAUUUCAGUCCACUGGUAAAAAUGCCUAAACUGGAACCCUUGCAAUUCGAAUUUUUAUCACCUGACUGAAGUUUUAGUAAGUUUAGUAACUGACACAUUGGACUGUGUUUCACUGCUUUCAUCCUUCACCAGUUCUGUCCUUCUUCAGCUAUCAUCAACAGAAGUACAGGGGGAAAAAACAUAACCAAGGAAGACAGAGAAGAGACGGUGGUGCAGAUUCGCUGAGCAGCCUCAGAUGUAGCGAUGCAGGACUGGAAGAGCGGGCCUGCUGUGUGGAUGCAGCUGUAAACAUAACACAAUGAGUGAAAGCACUAAUGCACUACACUUCUAUGGAACAUUUGCCCACAGACACUAUUAAUCCCAGAUAAAUGGAAGAGGGUCGGAAGCAGCAAGUGACUUAGUGAGAGUAGCUGUGGGUGGCGAAGCAGAGGACUGUCCUGCUUCCCAGAGGCAGUGUAGGAAGUCAGUACAGAGCUGGGGCUAGACCUCGGCUACCCUAAUUCUCACCCUCCUUGUCUAACUGCUGUGCAAUGCCAAGUCUUUCAUCUUAAACCUUCCUCAGUUGUCUCAAAAGUGCAAUCUGAUAACACUGCUAUGGAAACUUCGGACCUGUAUGGGGUCAUUAGAUAACCCCCCACAUAAUAAGGGAGAUAUUUAUGUCCUUUCAGUACAAAGAAAGUUAAUAAUCAUCAUUAGAAACACCAUGAAACAAGAGCAUACAAAGCAGAGUUAGCUCUACUUGGAGUGUAAAUUGCAUAGUACUCCAAGAUGAACGAAUGCAUGUUGUAUUCUUUUCAUGGUUAUAUUUAAAUCUGUGUUUUCUUUAAUUUAAAUCUGCUCUAUAAAGAUCUCAG